GACAGAGGGGGCAAGCGUUGCUCGGAAUCACUGGGCGUAAAGGGCGCGUAGGCGGGAUGGCAAGUCGGUCGUGAAAUCCUCCGGCUCAACCGGAGAACGUCGGCCGAAACUGCCGUUCUUGAGGGAUGCAGAGGAGACUGGAAUUCCCGGUGUAGCGGUGAAAUGUGUAGAGAUCGGGAGGAACACCGGUGGCGAAGGCGGGUCUCUGGGCAUCUCCUGACGCUGAGGCGCGAAAGCGUGGGGAGCAAAC
rnacentral:rRNA from 1 species